GGAUGCGAUCAUACCAGCACUAAAGCACCGGAUCCCAUCAGAACUUUGAAGUUAAGCGUGCUUGGGCGAGGGUAGUACUAGGAUGGGUGACCUCCUGGGAAGUCCUCGUGUUGCAUUCC
rnacentral:rRNA from 1 species